UCCAAAUCCCCUUCCCCUCCCACAUUCUCCCUCCUCUGCUCACCUUCACCGUAGCUUUUAGCCGCCGACGACUCCAAGGUUCUCUCUCUCUCUAUCUCUCUCGCAUUGUAUAUGGCUGGGUUACUUUUACACUUAUUUUACAGUUCUCUUCCGUAGCCCUCACUCCCAUCUCUCACCCUCGAGGCCGCACUUUCUCUCCUCCCUUUUCUCACUUCUGUAGCCCUCUUACCCACACUUCUCUCCCACUUCCCUCCCGUAGCUCUCUCUCUCUAACCCCGAUCUGUGACUCGAAGACAUGUACAACGAGUAAUGCAUCCAGAUUUUGCUCAACGGGGAAGAAUUCAGGAAAACAAAGAGCUCAUGGUGUGCGGGAGACAGAAUAAUUAAUAGAAAAGAGAAGCAAAAAGGGAGGAGUUAUGAGGCACCUAUGAAUUCACAUGAAAGUAGAGAAGACAGAGUCAUAGACAAUGAUCAUGUAUAAUUCGUGUUUCUGCAUCUGAAUCAAAUCAUGGAUCAAGAGGAUGAAAUUUCAAGUGCAAGGUGUGCAUGUAGACAAUUAUGUGCACCACUAUGGAGGUGAAGUGCAGGGAGCAUGCGGAAGGAAAGCACCCCAAAUCUGAUGUUUAUACUUACUUCUCUCAUCUCAAAAAAUGAAUGAAUGUGGAGAUGGAUUGAGAAUAAACUGGACUUGUAACGAAUGUAAACUGGACUUAUGGCUCUGGGGCUUAGUGGCUACUUUGUUGUGGUUGUAAAAAAUGUGAUGGACUCAUGUUUUGAUUAUCUAUCAGAUUUUUUGUUGUGGCUAUAAAGAAUAUGAUAGACUUGUGUUUUGAUUACC